GUUCAUUGCAACCUCCCCAUCUGAAUGUCAGCUCCACUAACACCACAAAGACAGACUCAGUGCAGCUGAGCUGUGAGACUCCUCAGUCUGUCUCAGUGUCUCGUUGUCAGUUCCUGUCGGAUGGACAAACUGUCGGGGAGACGUCUUCACCCUGUCGGCGCUCCAUCACCGGGACUCAGCUGCUCAGGGGGACGAUCCACUCUGGCGACGCUCAGAUUGUAGUUCAGUGUCUGUACACUGCGGACAUAAAUGGGAUUAAUAUACCAUCACCAUCACCGCGCAGUAACAGUAUCACAGUGACAGUGACGGGGUUCCUGAUAAACUCCACAUCUGAUCCAGUGUCCACAACAAGUAAUCCAAGAUUAAAUGGGUUUAUAUGUCUUCACAGAUCUCUUACAUACUGAAUUAACGUAAUUAAGGGGUAACUAAUAGUAAUUGAUCACAUUUUCACUGUUUUGUUCCUCUCUGGUAGAUCUGACAGCUGUGAUCAAUGUGAGCAGCACAUUACUGCCUGAAAAUAGCUUUGUCGGUGUUACCUGUGCUGCUCCACGCACGGUGCGAGAGGCCACCUGGAGGCUCUACAGAGACACACAUACAUCUCCGGUCCUCACACGGACUGGGAAGGGGAAUCUUUUUCGGUUCUCAGUGUCUAGGAGCAACCUUCUUCAGGGAGAAACACACACUGAUGUGUACACUGUUGUACAGCUGAGCUGUGAAUACACUGAUAGCGACUCAAACACCGUCUCUCAGCGGAGCAGCAGGCGGCAGCUGAUGGUCCUGGGCAAACUGCCCCCGGCCAAACUGACACUGAGUCCCGCGAUGGUCACUGAGAGAGGCUCGGUGCAGCUGAGCUGUGAAGGACCUCAGAAUCUGCCUGUGUCUCAGUGUCAGUUCCACGCAGACAAGAAGUGGCUGACUGAGACUCCGUCGGACUGUCAGCUCUCCAUCGCUGGAGCCGAGCUGCUCAGAAGGGGGGGUCGGGGUCACAGCAUGAUCAGCGGGGUUAUUAAAGUGGACUGUCAGUACAUUGUGGGUGCUGGAUUAAAUGCACCUUCCCCACACAGUGAUGGUCUUUCAGUGACACUGCUGGUCGAGCCAAAUAUUAACGUGUCGACACACCACAAUGAGACCGUGGUUCGCUGUGAAGCCCCUCCUCCUGUCACUGGAGCCCUCUUCUACCUGCAUGAGAAAGAAGGGACACAACCCAUCACAGAGAUCCGGGCAGCAGAAGGAGAGAGAGCAGUGAUUUUCACUGUCCCUCGCAGCCCCGACACCACAGUGACCUACUGCUGCGCUUAUAAGUACCAGAACUUCAGCUCUUCGCUGAGUAACUGCACCGGAUCACAAAGUGCACAGGAGAACAAAAACAGUGGAGCCUCUAUGUGGGUGACAGCUGGAGUGUUUUUUGCUGUGAUGGUGUUGCUGCUGGUAAUUGUGACUCUGUGUCUGUACAAGGGAUACAAAAAACAGAAAUCCAGCAGACAAGAAGCUGCUCAAGGACAACUUGUCAGAAUGGUAACAUCAAGCGAUGCACCUGUUGAUGAUACGGCCUACGCAACUAUCACUGAUGAUCCUGCUAACUGCAAACCACUGCCCUCUGAUUCUGGUUUAAGUGGCGAAAACCAGCAAACUCAGAAUGGCUUCGAUUCUCAACAACAGGAGAGUCCUUUGUGCGCCACAUCCAAUGAAGAUCAAAAUUAUGCAACGAUUGAUGACUUGCCUGCUGCCUCCAUGGAUGUCACAACAGUUUACAGCCUUGCACAGCAGUCCUGAGACCAGCGGACCCCUGUAUAACAUACUUGUCAUGUGAUCGGGGGGGUGACAUUAAACUAUAUUAAUUUCUUUGUCUCUUUUAUAAAUCAUAUGCUGUAUUUAAAAAAAAAAUGUCCAUGCAACAAAGUCUUUAUGAAGGGAAGUGUAUCUCUUAUUAUUAAAUACACUCAUAUUGCUGGUCAUUUGUUGUUAAUUUCCUGCAGGAAAGAUAGAUACUGUACAUGUUAAGUAACUUUAAUGUUUUAAACAUGUCCUUUUAUUUUGAGGCAAGGACUGGGUGGCAGAUCACUGUAAAUGAAAAUCUGUUCUUAUUUUUAUAAAAAUAAAGUUAUAUUUCUAUCUGUCUGACUCA
ensembl:lncRNA